UACAGAGGGUGCAAGCGUUAAUCGGAAUUACUGGGCGUAAAGCGUGCGUAGGCGGGCAUUUAAGUCGAUUGUGAAAUCCCCGGGCUUAACCUGGGAACUGCAGUCGAGACUGGGUGUCUAGAGUAUGGUAGAGGAAAGUGGAACUCCCGGUGUAGCGGUGAAAUGCGUAGAUAUCGGGAAGAACACCAGUGGCGAAGGCGGCUUUCUGGACCAAUACUGACGCUGAGGUACGAAAGCGUGGGGAGCAAACAGG
rnacentral:rRNA from 1 species